UGGGGAAUAUUGCACAAUGGGGGAAACCCUGAUGCAGCGACGCCGCGUGGAGGAAGAAGGUCUUCGGAUUGUAAACUCCUGUCCCAGGGGACGAUAAUGACGGUACCCUGGGAGGAAGCACCGGCUAACUACGUGCCAGCAGCCGCGGUAAAACGUAGGGUGCAAGCGUUGUCCGGAAUUACUGGGUGUAAAGGGAGCGCAGGCGGAUUGGCAAGUUGGGAGUGAAAUCUAUGGGCUCAACCCAUAAAUUGCUUUCAAAACUGUCAGUCUUGAGUGGUGUAGAGGUAGGCGGAAUUCCCGGUGUAGCGGUGGAAUGCGUAGAUAUCGGGAGGAACACCAGUGGCGAAGGCGGCCUACUGGGCACUAACUGACGCUGAGGCUCGAAAGCAUGGGUAGCAAACAGGAUUAGAUACC
rnacentral:rRNA from 1 species